rnacentral:lncRNA from 1 species
AUCAAUCUCCAUAUAAAGGUGAAGCAUUUCAUUGGAACUGGAAAUACAGCAAGAACAAUCCUCAUAAAAUCAAUCUCCCAAAGACAGAAGGAGGUGCUGAGGAGUGAAACAGGCCAUUUCAAGACACACCACAAAUAAAAACAUAAUCAUAAUAUAGCACAAAUGGAGUUUCGUUUUCCUCUAUGGGAAAGUAUGGCCAAUUGACAAGAAACAGAGAAAGAGAAACAAUGGAACCCUAACUCUAGCUAGUACACAAAUAAGUAAUCAGCCCUAAUGUUUCAUACUCAAACACCUGCAUCAGAUCCUAAGGAAGUUCCCACCAAACACCAGUCUCAC